UACGUAGGGGGCAAGCGUUGUCCGGAAUCACUGGGCUUAAAGCGCGUGUAGGCGGGCCGGCACGUCCGAGGCUGAAAUCCCCCGGCUCAACCGGGGAAGGGGCGCGGAUACGACCGGCCUGGAGGGGGGUAGGGGGGCCUGGAACUUCCGGUGGAGCGGUGAAAUGCGUUGAGAUCGGAAGGAACGCCCGUGGCGAAAGCGAGGCCCUGGACCCUUUCUGACGCUGAGACGCGAAAGCCAGGGGAGCGAACGGG
rnacentral:rRNA from 1 species